rnacentral:rRNA from 2 species
GGGAGCUUGCUCCCGGAUGUUAGCGGCGGACGGGUGAGUAACACGUGGGUAACCUGCCUGUAAGACUGGGAUAACUCCGGGAAACCGGAGCUAAUACCGGAUAGUUCCUUGAACCGCAUGGUUCAAGGAUGAAAGACGGUUUCGGCUGUCACUUACAGAUGGACCCGCGGCGCAUUAGCUAGUUGGUGGGGUAAUGGCUCACCAAGGCGACGAUGCGUAGCCGACCUGAGAGGGUGAUCGGCCACACUGGGACUGAGACACGGCCCAGACUCCUACGGGAGGCAGCAGUAGGGAAUCUUCCGCAAUGGACGAAAGUCUGACGGAGCAACGCCGCGUGAGUGAUGAAGGUUUUCGGAUCGUAAAGCUCUGUUGUUAGGGAAGAACAAGUGCGAGAGUAACUGCUCGCACCUUGACGGUACCUAACCAGAAAGCCACGGCUAACUACGUGCCAGCAGCCGCGGUAAUACGUAGGUGGCAAGCGUUGUCCGGAAUUAUUGGGCGUAAAGGGCUCGCAGGCGGUUUCUUAAGUCUGAUGUGAAAGCCCCCGGCUCAACCGGGGAGGGUCAUUGGAAACUGGGAAACUUGAGUGCAGAAGAGGAGAGUGGAAUUCCACGUGUAGC